rnacentral:tRNA from 1 species
GCCUUCUUAGCUCAGUUGGUAGAGCAACGCUUUCGUAAAGCGUGGGUCGCAGGUUCAAGUCCUGUAGAAGGCU